UACCUAAAAUUAGAGGCCCGGUGCACGGAUUCAUGCACCGGUGGGGUCCCUCGGCCUGGCCUGUGGGGAUCAGGCCAAAACUGGCUCUCUGACAUCCCCCAAGGGAUCCUGGAUUGGAAGAGGGUAGUUCUCAGGUGACACACCCCAGAAAUGGGCUCCCUCCUCUCUGGUUCUGGGUGCAUCACCCAAGAACCACAGCUGCCAAGUCACCAUAGCUCAGCAGCUCCUGCAUUGAGCUGUUUGCCCCCAUUGGUCAUUGGGCAUCAUAGCUACCAGCCAGUCGGCCGGUCGUGCGGGCUUUUGUAUAUAUAGAUGUUGAAUCGUCAUCUUAUGUGCUCUAAGGUAACUUACUGUUUAAAAAAAAACACCUAGUAAAGUUUAUGAUGCCAAAAAUGACCAAUUUUGCAAAUCCACAUUUGCAGACAUUUCAUUUCAUCUCUAGUUGCCAACGUUUCAUUAAGGUGGGCCAGUUAAGGUCUAUUCCAAAACGUUAGAACAUCAUGUUCCUUCUCAUUAAUGUGAACUUAUUUAAGAAAUUAUUUUGCGUGAGACAGAGUAUUUUGUCUUUGUCAGUGUUAGAAUCCACUACUGGGGGAAAAGUCCCCCCCC